rnacentral:misc_RNA from 1 species
UAAUGGAGUGAAUUGCAAUUGAGUUGUUUAUUGCCUGUGUUUCUCUUAUAAUGCACGGAUGCCAUUAGCACUUUGGGAAGCUCCUGUACAUCAACUUUCUCAUAGUAGAAAUGUAAAAGAUUAUGAAAAAGCAAAACUGCUUACUCAAGUCCAGAUUGCCUGCCGACUGGAGUUAUUUAUUUUCGAAGUAUAGUUAAGAGAGCUGCUUUAAGCAAGUUUAAUCCUUUUGUUCUGCAUUUAAAAAUCCUAAAGUUGAAUGCUUUGAUAUGUCUGAAGUAAAUUGAAAGGUUUUAUAAUAUCAUGGCUGAAGAUAAUAUGUUACCAUCAAAAUUGGGAGUAAUGUAUGGACUCGAUGAAAAUAUUAAUCCCUUGAAAGCUACUAAUUUGCUUCCACUUUCAUCAGAAACAGAAGAUAAUCAAAAUUACUUUACUAGCUCAAAUGCCGUGUCUCUCAUUCAAAAACUGUCUGAAUUCAAAAAGCUCUCAUCAAAUAUUUCAAACAAGCAUGAUCCUGAACACUUUACUCAAUUAGAAAAAACUGUAUCUUUUCAAACAAGUUCAAAUACUAUGUCUUCCAAAACAAUAAGUUCAAAAUAUGUUAUGGGUGAUGAAAUCUCUGCCUUAUAUGAUAACAUAUAUCCGACUGCUGAUGCCUUCUCUGAAGAGGAUAUAGGUAAGGAACAGCAUACACAAGCAUCCAGUGUGUACAGGAAAACAGAAGUAUUCCAUGAUUCAUUGCCCAAGCAAAGUUUCAUUAAGAAAGAAGAAUUAAAACAUACUUCAACUACUGAAAGUAUAAGUGAAAAUCACAGUGAGGCAGGUCCUGAUGUAGCCGAAUUUUCAGAAGAAGAACUUAGAUCUGUAGCUGAGCUUUUCAAGGAACCUUCUGCCUUUGACUUUUUUCAAAAAGCAUCGAAUUCUAAAUUACUGAGAGAGUCGCCUUUGGGACGUUUAUCGCUGUUUGUGAAACUUGAUUCUACUAAGGGUGGAUUUGAAGGGAGCCAAGAGAAAAGUGCUCAAGAUUCUGGUUUAGACAUAAGUGGUGACAGCAACUCUCUAAAUGCUGCUUGUGGUAAUGACAGGGAGUAUGAGACAUUUCAGUCAAGCUUAGUCAUGACUACUGAUUCUGCAACUGCUGUAUCUGAUGAUCCUGUUCUUACAGAUAUAAACUCAAAGUCCAUGAAAAAAAUGGAUAAAACAAGUUCUAGUCAUCAGCAAGGUUCACAUUGUGUUCAGGAACACAAAUUAUUUACAGAAGAAGAAUUCAGUCAAGCUUUAAAGAUGCAAGAGCUCCUAUUUCAUGAAAAGCAACUAAAGAGAGAUAGAGAACGUUGUGACCAAAUGAAACUUUUAGAGAGAGAUAAGCAGAUUUUGAAGAACCAGCUUGUAGCUCUUAGUAAAGGUUAUAGAGCAUCAAGGGUUGUUUUGGAAGAACUGCUAAAUAUUUUCACAUUAUGGUUGAGUGCUAAAGAACAAGAGCGUGUUGAAAUGACUAGCAAUAAUCAGAAAGUGAUGAAAGAACGGGAUCAGGCUCUGGAAGAUCUGCAAAAUGUUGAAUCAGCUUUUGCUGACUUACACAGGCGAUAUGAGAAUUGCAAGUCUGUUUUAGAGGGAUAUAAACAGAAUGAAGAAAAAAUGAAGCAACAAGUAGCUGAAAUGCAAGGGAAAUUGAAACAGCAAGAACAGAUGUAUGAAAUGCUGAGGGCUCGCAUUCAAGACAAAUUAGACAGAAGACAAAGUCAUCCAGCUGUUAUUAAAUGCAGCAAUCUGGAAUUAGAGACUGACAUUAGUUAGUUAAUCUUCGUUUCUAUUUUGAAAAAGUUAUCAUAGUGCAAAUGCAGAGAUUGAGAGUGCUAGAAAGUCUGGUGAUGCUGAAGUAACAGUGUUAAGAGCUCAACUGAAAAAAGCUGAAAUGAAGAUAUCAAGUUUAGAAAAAGAUCUUGAACAAAAGAAUAUAGAAAAUGUGGAGCUU